CGGCGGACGGGUGAGUAACGCGUGGGUAACCUGCCUCAUACAGGGGGAUAACAGUUAGAAAUGGCUGCUAAUACCGCAUAAGACCACGGUACUGCAUGGUACAGUGGUAAAAACUCCGGUGGUAUGAGAUGGACCCGCGUCUGAUUAGGUAGUUGGUGGGGUAACGGCCUACCAAGCCGACGAUCAGUAGCCGACCUGAGAGGGUGACCGGCCACAUUGGGACUGAGACACGGCCCAA
rnacentral:rRNA from 1 species